rnacentral:rRNA from 1 species
AGCUCCAAUAGCGUAUAUUAAAGUUGCUGCAGUUAAAAAGCUCGUAGUUGGAUUUGUGGCGCGGCCGUCCGGCGGGGGUCCUUUAUUGGUCCCGUUCGUCCUGGUUCUCGGCCGCUCCUUUCUCGGGUAGCGCGUGGCUGGCAUUAGGUUGUCGGCCGCUUCGCGCCCGUCAUUUACUGUGAAAAAAUUAGAGUGUUCAAAGCAGGCUUAGGCCGUUGGAUACAUUAGCAUGGAAUAAUGAGACAGGGCCACCGCGGUCUAUUUUGUUGGUUUGCACGUUGUGGCAAUGAUUAACAGGAACGGUUGGGGGUAUUCGUAUUCAACUGUCAGAGGUGAAAUUCUUGGAUUUGUGGAAGACGAACUACUGCGAAAGCAUUUACCAAGGAUGUUUUCAUUAAUC